rnacentral:snRNA from 1 species
GAGCCAUGUUGUGACUACAUUGCGAACUAUUCUUUCGCCUUUUACUAAAGAAUACCGUGUAUUCAUAACUUGUAUGGCAUACAUAUAUUUUUGAAGGGUACCUUCCUAAUGGAAGGA